GUCCCUGUAGCGCAAUGGAUAGCACUUUGGACUACUAAUCCAAAGGUCGUGGGUUCGAAUCCCACCUGGGAUG
rnacentral:tRNA from 1 species